rnacentral:rRNA from 1 species
AUUGAAUGCUGGCGGCAUGCUUUACACAUGCAAGUCGAACGGUAACAGGCCUUCGGGUGCUGACGAGUGGCGAACGGGUGAGUAAUGCAUCGGAACGUACCCAGAGGUGGGGGAUAACGCAGCGAAAGCUGUGCUAAUACCGCAUGUGAUCUGAGGAUGAAAGCGGGGGACCGAGCAGCAAUGUUUGGCCUCGCGCCUUUGGAGCGGCCGAUGUCGGAUUAGCUAGUUGGUGGGGUAAAGGCCUACCAAGGCGACGAUCCGUAGCUGGUCUGAGAGGACGACCAGCCACACUGGGACUGAGACACGGCCCAGACUCCUACGGGAGGCAGCAGUGGGGAAUUUUGGACAAUGGGCGCAAGCCUGAUCCAGCAAUGCCGCGUGCGGGAAGAAGGCCUUCGGGUUGUAAACCGCUUUUGGCAGGAACGAAACGGUGUCCGCUAAUACCGGGCGCUAAUGACGGUACCUGCAGAAUAAGCACCGGCUAACUACGUG